rnacentral:rRNA from 1 species
CCUACGGGUGGCAGCAGUGGGGAAUAUUGCACAAUGGGGGAAACCCUGAUGCAGCGACGCCGCGUGAGCGAAGAAGUAUUUCGGUAUGUAAAGCUCUAUCAGCAGGAACGAGACAAGACGGUACCUGACUAAUAAGCCCCUGCUAAGUACGUGCCAGCAGCCGCGGUAAUACGUAGGGUGCAAGCGUUAUCCGGAAUCACUGGGUGUAAAGGGAGCGUAGACGGCUGAGCAAGCCUGAAGUGAAAGGCGGGGGCCCAACCCGCGGAUUGCUUUGGGAACUGUACGGCUGGAGUGCAGGUGAGGUAAGUGGAAUUCCUAGUGUAGCGGUGAAAUGCGUAGAUAUGAGGAGGAACACCAGUGGCGAAGGCGGCUUACUGGACUGUAACUGACGUUGAGGCUCGAAAGCGUGGGGAGCAAACAGGAUUAGAUACCCGAGUAGUC